rnacentral:rRNA from 1 species
AUACGGAGGGUGCGAGCGUUAAUCGGAAUUACUGGGCGUAAAGCGUACGUAGGCGGUUGGUUAAGUUAGAUGUGAAAGCCCCGGGCUUAACCUGGGAACUGCAUUUAAAACUGUCGAACUAGAGUUGAGUAGAGGGGAGUGGAAUUUCAGGUGUAGCGGUGAAAUGCGUAGAGAUCUGAAGGAACACCAGUGGCGAAGGCGGCUCCCUGGACUCGAACUGACGCUGAGGUACGAAAGCGUGGGUAGCAAACGGGAUUAGAAACCCCGGUAGUCC